UACGUAGGGUGCGAGCGUUUGUCCGGAAUUAUUGGGCGUAAAGAGCUUGUAGGUGGUUUGUCGCGUCUGCUGUGAAAAUCCGAGCUCAACCUCGGACUUGCAGUGGGUACGGGCAGACUAGAGUGUGGUAGGGGAGACUGGAAUUCCUGGUGAUAGCGGUGGAAUGCGCAGAUAUCAGGAGGAACACCGAUGGCGAAGGCAGGUCUC
rnacentral:rRNA from 1 species